rnacentral:lncRNA from 1 species
AAUAGAAUGGGCGUGGUAGGCGUGUAGCUUGGGUUGGCUGGUGGACCCCAGGGGUUCUCGUCAUCCCGGAUCUGUUAGGGGGGUAGGCCUGGAGCCUGGAAUCGUCUGCAAGGGGAGGAAACUGCGCCAGGCUAGACCUUUGCAGAGAUUAGUUAUUCUGAAUUUGGUCUCUUCACAUCCUGCUGGGCGCUCCUCACUGCUUGCUGCCUCAGCGAACUAACUGCAGGGCCAGGUGCCAGUGUGAGUCUUACCUGCCCUGCUGUGUGCUGGGCCCAGACGACAGGGCAGUGGACAAAACCAGCGCAAGUGCCUUCCCUGCCCAACCCCCCCAGCCAGUGGGGGAGACACGUCACAGAUGCCCCCCUCAGCACAUCACUGCUCUCUAGGCAAAAGUUCAGAUGGGGCCCUGAAUGUGGAGACCCGUGGCUGAUGGCGGCAGGAGGCACUGGCUACAGCAAAGGAGGAAAUGGCGAUGCCAGACUUUGCUGUGGAUGUUUUGGUUCUGGGCAACAGUGGGCAUCCAGAAAGCAGGCAGGAG